GAAAAAUUAGUUAAAAUUAUAACAUUGAAUCGUCAAUUCAAAAUUGUAAAUUACAUUUUUCU
rnacentral:tRNA from 1 species